rnacentral:sRNA from 1 species
GUGUCGGGUGAGUGUGCGUCUGUGUGUCCCGGCGAGGGUGCGCGCUCGGCGCCGGGAGCGCGGCCAGCCGAGUCCGGAGGCAUCGGGAGGCCGAGAGCCGCCGGGACCCCAGCUCUGCGUUCACUGCCCCGUCUGGAGCUGGACUUCGGGGCCGGGGCCGUGCGCCGGGGACAGGCAGGGCCGGGUCGCGGGCCGCGCGUCCCCCAGGCCGGAGAUCUGCGAGUGAAGAGGGACGAGGGAAAAGAAACAAAGCCACAGACGCAACUUGAGACUCCCGCAUCCCAAAAGAAGCACCAGAUCAGCAAAAAAAGAAGAUGGGCCCCCCGAGCCUCAUGCUGUGCUUGCUGUCCGCAACUGUGUUCUCCCUGCUGGGUGGAAGCUCGGCCUUCCUGUCGCACCACCGCCUGAAAGGCAGGUUUCAGAGGGACCGCAGGAACAUCCGCCCCAACAUCAUCCUGGUGCUGACGGACGACCAGGAUGUGGAGCUGGGUUCCAUGCAGGUGAUGAACAAGACCCGGCGCAUCAUGGAGCAGGGCGGGGCGCACUUCAUCAACGCCUUCGUGACCACACCCAUGUGCUGCCCCUCACGCUCCUCCAUCCUCACCGGCAAGUAUGUCCACAACCACAACACCUACACCAAUAACGAGAACUGCUCCUCGCCCUCCUGGCAGGCACAGCACGAGAGCCGCACCUUUGCCGUGUACCUCAAUAGCACUGGCUACCGGACAGCUUUCUUCGGGAAGUAUCUUAAUGAAUACAACGGCUCCUACGUGCCGCCCGGCUGGAAGGAGUGGGUCGGACUCCUUAAAAACUCCCGCUUUUAUAACUACACGCUGUGUCGGAACGGGGUGAAAGAGAAGCACGGCUCCGACUACUCCAAGGAUUACCUCACAGACCUCAUCACCAAUGACAGCGUGAGCUUCUUCCGCACGUCCAAGAAGAUGUACCCGCACAGGCCAGUCCUCAUGGUCAUCAGCCAUGCAGCCCCCCACGGCCCUGAGGAUUCAGCCCCACAAUAUUCACGCCUCUUCCCAAACGCAUCUCAGCACAUGUAAGCCUCAGCACUCUGCCUGCCAGAGGCACUGCUUAGCAUGAAGGGGGAGGGUCAGGCUUUAGCAACAGUACUGUCACCACCAUGACUUCGCUGUGCCUCCUCUCUAAUCCUCCUGCUUUAAAGACCCCAAGAACAUACUGCUUGUCCAUGGUGAAACUGGGAUGCAACUCCAGACAGCCUGGGCAACAGACCAAGGCAGGAGAAUUUUUAACUUGGGAUACACGGCCUCCCACCAAGAGGUGUGUGGAUGGAAUUGCGUAGAAUAGGUUUCCUUUUAAUGCCAUGUGUAUUUUAUUUAAGACAUCUAAAAACAUUCUUUUGAGGAGGGGGUCUAUAGUUUUACCAGACUAAUUAUUUGCCACCAUUUAUUGAGCUGUGGGCUAUGUAGCAGGUGCUGUGCUAAGCCCUUGGCAUUAUGUCCAGUCCCUGAAUACUCACAAUGACCCUUGGUGUACCAGUUAUCUAUUGCCAUGUAACAAAUCAUCCCAGAAUCUAGCAACUUAAAACAACAAACACAAAUUAUCUCACGGUGUCUGUGAGUCAGGAAUCUGGGAGUGGCUGUUCUGAGCUUCUG